AACCGUUCAGGGGUAAACCUGAGAAACCCAAAAGAUCGAAUGGGGAGAUUCAGCGUCAGCGGCGUUGGCUUCCGUGUGGUUCGCGAUGGUCGGGGCUUCGGUUCCGCAUCACGCGUCCGCUGCGGUAUGUCCGGCGUUGUAGGCGUGCACUUCUCCUCUAGUAGGACGUCGCGACCCGUUGGGUGUCGGCCCACGGCCCGGUUGGUCGACUGUCGCGUCGCGUUCACGCGUGUACGCGGCAGACCACCGGUCGCCCGGCCGGCUGCCCGGCGGUAUAUAAUACACUGGUAUUGAGCCGCAUUAAGUGCGUUCUGGCUCGUCGGCAGGCUCGUCUCGCUCGGAUUUACGGACCUAGCGCCGUUGCCGAGUGCUUGGCGUGGCCGUUAGUCGACGAUGUCCUCGGACUGGCUCUCGAAUCCGUAAGGAUUUACCGGUCGGCGACGCUACUGCUUUGGGUACUUUCAGGACCCGUCUUGAAACACGGACCAAGGAGUCUAACAUGUACGCGAGUCAUUGGGACUUGUUUAAGCCUAAAGGCGUAAUGAAAGUGAAGGUCGUCCUUAGCGUCGACCUAGGGAGGAUGGUUCGCGUCACGAUGCGAACUCGCACUCCCGGGGCGUCUCGUGCUCAUUGCGAGCAGAGGCGCACCCAGAGCGUACACGUUGGGACCCGAAAGAUGGUGAACUAUGCCUGGUCAGGACGAAGUCAGGGGAAACCCUGAUGGAGGUCCGUAGCGAUUCUGACGUGCAAAUCGAUCGUCGGAACUGGGUAUAGGGGCGAAAGACUAAUCGAACCAUCUAGUAGCUGGUUCCCUCCGAAG
rnacentral:rRNA from 1 species